AUUGGAUUCUAACAAGUUCGAAGAUAAUUGAAACGGUCACACAGAUCUCUCUAACGGCCGGUAAAAAAGACAAAAUUCAUAUUGAACAGUCAAGUAUCACGCAUUCAUUACCCAAGGAGAAGAAGGGCACAAUAACAUUCGCUAAAGGUGAACAACUGUUUAUCGCAAAAGGAAAGACUGGAAAUUUAGAAGUGGUUGUGCCAACUUGAAUUUUCUAAGGAUACCGUAUAUAAAAUAUGGAUUUGUCAGAGUUUUGCUUAUAUGUGAUGAAUCAUCUGCUCAGCACAUUCUUUGAUUGCAUCUAUCAUUGUUUAAUCUUAUAAGAGACACUGCAAAGCAGACUUCAAUCUCUUCACUAAAUAUCAGCUUUUAAUGCUGCUUAUUAUUAUUAUAAAACAUAUACAAUUGUUUUUCAUAUCACAAGAGUGUAUUUUUAGGAAUUA